GGGAACAUUCUCAAAUAGAAUGUGAAGAAAAGAAAGCAAAAAAUGGGUUGAGAAUUGAGGUUUGUGUCCAUUGUGUUUGGUCGUGUUAAGGGUACGUAAGUGGGUUGGCUUUUGUAGUUUUGCCUCCAAAGUGCACAUGGUGGGUUUGGUAUGGCAGUGGGGGGAUUUUCAAACGAGGUGCGAUUUAGAGUUCACUCAGAUGGGCAGUUUGUUUGGACGCGAAAUAACAUGAAAGUGCAUGUGAUUGACUGAGUAUUAUUCAUUAUUGUUGACAUCGCAGCUGGGCUCUAGCUAGCGGCCCCGAUAUCCAGUCCUCAACCCCCAUCAACACCUCCUCUCUCCACAGCGCCUUGCUUUGCUUCUACGUGUGUACUUCCAACCCCUGCAUUUCAAAUAGUGAAUUAAGAAGAUGAGUUACGACCCCAUACAAAUGUUCAACUCCAAGUACUCGAUUUAGUCCGACUGCAUAUCUAUCGUAUCAGUGUAUGUCACAAAAACCCCUUACGUACCAUACUCUCAUAUGAUCCGAUAGUCACUUUCAAGUAAAUGUUUUUCAGACGAUCUAAAUGAACAUAUAUCCUUCUACUUGGUGAUUACUGGUUUUCACCGAGUCUCUAAAUGAACAUAACUAACAUUGUUAUAUAGACAUGGCAGAGGACACUGACGUACAUAUCCCAGGCUUGGAUAAUAUCAAGUAAAUUAAUGUGGCAUUUAGGAACGUUAAUAAAUGGCAAUAUAGAAAGAAAGAAACUUUAAUUUGUGUUUGAAACUUACAAAACAAAUCCGGAGUGGUUGCUGCUGCCAUGAAUGAUUAGCACCGGAUUUUCCAGGCUGCUUCCGUGCCUGCCUUGAGCCAUUCACGCAGUACGCACAUACAGUUAUGUAAAGUCAACAUCAUAUCAUCGUAGCUGGAGAAGGUUAAUAUCUUGAAUAUGAACUUAUUAAGGAAAGACUAAUGAAUCCAAUCUUAUAAAAAUUAGAAUCAGAUGAGCAUAUUCUUCACAUUAAAUGCCAUAACAAGUCAAGUGGUAUCAUUUGGGUUUUGCAAAAAGAAAGGACACAAUAGGUCACCAAAAUGAUUAGAUUAUUCAAACUUUUUAAAAAAGAAGGAAUUAAUUUGAACGAUGGAUCAUUGGACAAGAAUUGUGGAGAGCAUGUUCAGACCAGAAAAUGGGAGGUGACCAGUGGUUAUUUAAUUUUAUCUCUGUGACAGACAGUUGUGACAAAUAGUAAAAAUAAUAAUGAAGCAACAGGUGGUGGGGAGGAAUACAUGACAUGAUGAUGAUGAUGAUGAUGAUAAAUCUCAGGUCCACACGGUUUAUUAGUUAGUUUAGUUAAACACCCUUUUAAAACAAAAGAAUAUGGCCAAUUAGACAGACGGUCAACAAGAUUUGAGAUUGCAACUUGCAAGAGAUGUCAAACCUAGCCAGCCAGGAGCUCAAUUUUGCAGAGGAUGGAUUGUGUAAGCAUUUCUGGCAAUCAGUUUGAUACCUCAGGGAACAAGAACACACUCAUUGCGUAUCAGAUGGACCUAGGCUAAGCUAAGUUCUAAUCUGCAGAUCAGAUCGUAACAGAGAUGUCGACUUUGGUUUCGGAUUAAGCCGAAAGUGAACAAACAAGAACAAAAUGACAUGACACCCACGAGCAAGCAGCUAGACAAUUGCAAGUCAAUUCCAAAUCAAAUGAAUAAUGACGUGUGUGAAUUCAAUAUCAAACUACACAUGCCAGCAGCUAGACAAUUGCAAGUCGAUAUUUGAGCAUUUAUUUAUUAUUGUUUCCUCACCUGUAGUAUCCGAGUCCCAGAAUUCACUCCAAAUAUAACUUUCUAAAGCUCCCAUCUCUGAUAGUCAUUUAUCUGGAAAAAAAAUACAGAAAAGUUGUCACAACGGUAAAGCAGAAGUGAUUCAGGAAUGCUGUGAUCCGUUUCACAACUGUAAUACCAAAUUUCUUUCCUGUCCAUUGUACGCAUCAUCAAGGUUA
rnacentral:lncRNA from 1 species